AUGUUUCGUGGUUUUCACCAUCCCGGAGAACUUCCUCGGGGCCCUGCUCCCUUAGGCUACCCACCCCAUGUACAGCCACCCGGUCCCAGCUACGGAGGGCCCUUUGGCCCGCCACCCCACGUUCCAAUGCCUGGACACUUACCUCCUGGAUCUUGUCAUCCUUUCUUACCUCCCGGAUCGGGAAGUGAAUACCUCCACAGGCCCAUGAGGGAACAUUAUAUCAAUACUCCACACUGCAGCAGUUACUCCAUUGACCGCAGCACAGUGAUCAGUCUGGGUGGUCAACAGAUUCUCCCACCAGACACACAGCAUCUUCAGAUGCCACAGUGGCCCGCCAAUCCUUUGGAAUCAUGUCAAAGAGACAAGAGUGAGAACUUGACAGCUGGGGAAGAAUUCCUCAGAUGCCUUGCAGCUAAUAAGCCAGUCCCUGACUUCCUCAAAGGAGUCAACCUGUUGGACGCAGGGAAGGCAGUCAAGGCUCCAGGUGUACCAGAAGACCGGGGUUAUGAGAGGCAGAGACUCCGGAGCAAAUCUCGCAGUCCAGCGAAGGAAAGCAGGGGCAGGAGUAAGAGCCGAGCAAAGAGCCAGGUAAGAAGCAAGAGCCGGGCAAGAAGCAAGAGCUGUCCGCGCAGCAGAAGUCGUACCCGAGGGAAAAGCCGGGCAAGAAGCAAAAGCCGACCACGAAGCAGGAGUCGCAGUCGUGGAAAGAGCCAGGUCAGAAGCAAGAGCAAGGCUCGUAGUAGGAGCCGGAGCCGAGGGAAAAGUCGGGUGAGAAGCAAAAGCAGAUCAAGGAGUAGGAGUCGCAGCUAUGGAAAGAGCCGGGGCAGAGUGGACCAUCAUUCAGACCACAGGGACAAAAGGAGCCCCAUUCGGAGCUGUAGCAGCAGGAUCAGUAAUCACUCCUCCGUACACAAUGACCUGCUCGAGGGCCUGAAACAAGUUAUGAACAGCAAGCAACUGGAGGACAGUAUGCCUUCCAUCAAGAAUGCCAUUCUCACAAUACAGGCCAAUAACUUUAGCAGAGAUAUCCAGAGCAGCAGAGCAAUCCAGAGCAACUGUCUUCCAUGUGGACCAGUCUUGGCCAGCAGACAGGAAUUUCUUCAAGCCUCAGAUGGGCCCAAGCCAGUCAGCAGACAGGAGGAGACCGACAGCAAUCUUCUCCCCCACGAGAGAGUGGGCUGUGACUUCUCCUGGCUGCAGGGCACCAGGGAGGUCUCGCCUGUUCAGAAGCUGGAGGAGGUUGAGGAUGAGGAGAACUUCCUCUAUGGGAAUGAGGAUAACCAGUCAAAACAACGCCCUGCCACCCUGCCUUUUGCACCGUCCACAUCCAUUACCCAGCAGAGCGGUGCAGAGAUCUCCCCAGCAGGCCCACCCUACUAUCAAAGCCAGCCUCUGUUCGGGAACCAUAGUGAAGUCCUGGAGUUCAAGAUGCCUCCUCAACCGGUCCAGUCCAGUGUGAGGCCUGAGCAGAGGGUGCAGCCUGUUCCUGAUGUGAGGCCCGCCCCCACUGUGAAGGAAUGUGAGGAGUUCAAGACCAUGUUGAAGAACAUUGGACUGAAUCUGGGCACAUCAGAGAUCAGUAAGAUGAUGGUCAAGCUGCAGCAACAGAAGGAGGGGAAGGUGCCAGAGCAGAAGAGGGAGGAGAAAGUGCCAUCACCAGCACCAGUGCUGCCUCUUCCUCUUGUAAUUGGGGCAUCACAGGAGCCCAGACUGGCCUCGCCAGCACUCGGGGCAGCACUUGGGACAGCACCAAUACGACAAGCAUUGGAGUCAUUACAGUUCAUUAUUAAAGCAACAAGGGAGAAAAGGGCCAAUAGUGAUCCACAUGAUGGCAACCAUUCCCAAAGGAAUUCAGACAAACAGAAGAGCAAAGAUGACGAGGAGAGUCAGAGGAGAUCGAGACAUGACCAAAUGAAAAGGAAAGAAACUCUUGUGAAGGAACUGGAGGAAUUGCUAAAGCAGGAUGGGUCUACCUUUUUGAUUCCGGUCAUCGGGUUCUACUGUCAGAGGUGUGAGGAGUUCUUCGGAGACCUGACCACUGCUGAGGACCAUGCAGCAACCCACCGGCAGAAUGAGCCUAGCAUGGCAUGUACCUAGCUACAUUGUCUCGCCCCACACAGUAACCCAACUGCAUACACUGCAUUGACCAACGAAACAGCAUAGUUAAACCAUUACGUUGUUCAACCUAGAUCACCCCUCAGUAUAAACUUUAGGUUCCUUUCCAGUCCACUUGUCUUCAGCAUCCAUAGAAAAGUCAAAUUCCCCAAAAGAUUUGUGGUAUUAUAAUCCCAAACUGUAUCUACUUGUUUCACCUUGUCUAUAGCAGCAGCAUGGAGACAGACGACCUGGAGAGGACCGAAGACACCCUAGUCAUUACAUCGGGCACCCCCUGGGUCCAGAGUGGAGGGACCAGGGAGACCCAAGAGAUCAGAGGUAUCGCAAACUAGACGAGGGCCCAAAGGGUUACAGGAACGACAGGGAGAAGAUCUACGUAAAAGAGGAACGCCCUGGAAGCCCCAGGAUAAAGAUGCAGAUGGUCCGCGGGCACACCCCACCAGGUCUGCAGAAGGCCAGGGGGAGAGAGGAGGGGAGGGUGGAUAAGGGCUCUUGUGCUGCUUCCUCUGGCCAUGCCAGUGGGAAAUAUGGUAGGGUCAAACUUGAGGUAGUGGAGACCAAAGGAAAGCCCAACGUGGAAGUAUGUGACAAAAAGGACAAAGAUAAAGGAGAAAGCAGUUCUAAUAGUGAUGACGAGAAAGACAAAUCUCCUAAAGGCAACAAAAAGAAAAAGAAGAAGGAGAAAAAGAAGAAGGAAAAGAAGAAGAAGAAGAAGGAAAAGGGUUAGAAGUAAUAGCUGCUGUACUGCAUGUCCUGGUUUGAUUGUACUGUAUCUCUGGAGGACCUGGCCUUGGGUCAUUGUUUGGCAUCAUUGCAGCUGUUUUCAGAAGUUGGUGCUUUUAAUGUUAAAAAGAAGCAGUACUCCUCUGAUUCGUUCUCUCCUUUUGGGGUUGUCUUGUUUUUCAGCAAACUGCGUUCCUCUGUGUUGUAGUGGAUAACAGCACAUUGAAUGCUGUUGGAGGACAGGCCGUUCCAGGGUGCAUAUGCAGCAUUUAUGAUGUCCAGAAUUGUUUUGCUGCCAGCUACUGAUCCUAUUGUUCAGACCUUUAGUUACUGUAGAUGUUUAUUAAAUAACCCUCUUUAUAUUGGGCCAUGUUUGUGUAUAUUUCACCCGGUACAACCUUGAUUUAGUGCUUUGAGUGUUAUCAAAUGUACUUUUUGCAUUUAAAGGUCAACUGCCAUUUGAAGCGUGUGCUGUCUUUCUUCCUAAUGUUAAACCGAUGAGAUGGAAUUGUUCUGUAAUGAAGACAUUUUUAUGCAUUGUCCUCUUAUAAUAUGUCUCAGCAAUUGAUGGCGCAAGGCUAUUUGCAAGCGCACAUGAUCUUGCCAAAGUCAUUGGAUCCUAUCAGGAUAGGAACAGUUGACAUAUUUUUGUAAGGUGAUCACUUUUUUUUCUGAUUAUAUACAUUGUUUUUGUCUGCUGUUGCUUACUCUGACUUCCUUUUUCUCACACAUUAGGCAUUUCCAUUGAUCCAGGUUUAUUUGACAAAAGCAAUGUCAGAAACGGCAGAUAUGAGACAUUUUUAUCCGUUCAAUAGGCUUCUAUUUUUCUUUUGUUGAACUUUCUUUACUGCAACUAAUGAGGGAAACUACUUUUAACUACUUUUAAGGUAUGCUGGGCAUGUGAUGUCAUCACAUAACUUUAGGCUGCACUCCUAAAUGCCUACUGCUUGCAAAAUAAGUUUUCAUUUUGAGCUAACAUGGAAUUGUUUUAAGAUGGUCAUACCAUGGAUCAUUUAGCUAUUUGAUUUUGAAUUUUAUGACCCCUUUGGGUAUCAAAAAUAUUUAGUGAUUUGAUAAAAUAUUUAAUUUCACCUCUACUAUAGCACAUAGAAACGCAUUAAAUAACACAUUAAUAAAUGUCAUAAAAGACAGUAAAAAAAUAGAUCACAUGGAAUAAGGUUUUAAAGUGUCUGUCCUAGAUAUACGAAAGCUCAAGAAAUAGUUCAGUUUAGAAAGUAUUCAUUCCCCUUGACUUAUUCCACAUUUUGUUGUGCCUGAAUUAAACAAAACUAAAAAUUCUCACCCAUCUACACACAAUACCCCAUACUGACAAAGUGAAAACAUGUUUUUAGAAAUGUGCAAAUUUAUUGAAAAUGAAAUACAGAAAUGUCUCAUUUACAUGCACUACAGUUCAAAAGUUUGGGGUCACUUAGAAAUGUCCUUGUUUUUAAAAAGCACUUUUUUGUCCAUUAAAAUAACAUCAAAUUGAUCCGAAAUACAAUGUAGACAUUGUUCAUGUUGUAAAUGACUAUUGUAGCUGGAAACGGCAGAUUUUUAAUGAAAUAUCUACAUAGGCGUACAGAGGCCCAUUAUCAGCAACCAUCACUCCUGUGUUCAAAUGGCACGACUCCAGGAUGCUGGCCUUCUAGGCAGAGUUCCUCUGCCCAGUGUCUUGUUUUUCCUAUCUUAAUCUUUUCUUUUUAUUUGCCAGUCUGAGAUAUGGAUUUUUCCUUGCAUUUCUGCCUAGGCCAUCAUCCCUGAGUCGCCUCUUCACUGUUGACGUUGAGACUGGUGUUUUGCGGGUACUAUUUAAUGAAGCUGCUAGUUGAGGACUUGUGAGGUGUCUGUUUCUCAAACUAGACACUAAUGUACUUGUCCUCUUGCUCAGUUGUGCAUUGGGGCCUCCCACUCCUUUCUAUUCUGGUUAGAGACCGUUUGCGCUGUUCUGUGAAAGGAGUAGUACACAGCGUUGUACGAGAUCUUCAGUUUCUUGGCAAUUUCUCGCAUGGAAUAGCCUUCAUUUUUCAGAACAAGAAUAGACUGAUGCGUUUCAGAAGAAAGUACUUUGUUUCUGGCCAUUUUGAGCCUGUAAUCGAACCCACAAAUGCUGAUGCAGAAGGCCAGUUUUAUUGCGUCUUUAAUCAGAACAACCGUUUUCAGCUGUACUAAUAUAAUUGCAAAAGGGUUUUCUAAUGAUCAAUUAGCCUUUUAAAAUGAUACACUUGGAUUAGCUAACACAAUGUGCCAUUGGAGCACUGGAGUGAUGGUUGCUGAUAAUGGGCAUCUGUACGCCUAUGUAGAUAUUUCAUAAAAAUCUGCUGUUUCCAGCUACAAUCGUCAUUUACAACAUUAACAAUGUCUACACUGUAUUUCUGAUCAAUUUGGUGUUAUUUUAAUUGACAAAAAAAUGUGCUUUUCUUUCAAAAAACGAGAACAUUUCUAAGUGUUUGAACGGUAGUCUAAGUAUUCACACCUGAGUCAAUACAUGUUAGAUUCACCUUUGGCACCGAUUACAGCUGUGAGUCUUUCUGGGUAAGUCUCUAAAGGCUUGUUCACAUAAACAAUUUGAAGUGACUCAUCUGUUCUUUUUCCUGCAGUCUGAACAGCCAAAAAGCACAUGGAAUUGGAUAUUUCAAGCCACACAAGGGUAGUAUUAAGUCAGAGAAAAAAAUGAUUCCUGGCCAUGUGACUUGUCUGAAUGGUCAAAUCUGAUUCAUUUCUGGUUUUUAGACUGCUAUUCAGCUUAUCUUGUUGCUUGUUUGCUACUCUGUUGACAGUUUGACAAGAACAUGUGGUAGCUAACUAGCUUGAUAAUUGUUUACAACAAAUUAGUGUGUGCUUUAUAGCUAAACCGCUGGCUAGCUAGUUUACUACUGUGGCUAACCAAAAAGGACUUGUUUUGAAAGUUGGAUCAUCUUAUCCUUUGAGGCUUUAAAAAUGUUCUUACCCUAUGAUUUUGAAGAUUCAAAGCAACUGGGAAAUGUCCAUGGCAGGCAUUGUUGUCAUGUUAACUUGCUCCAUAACUUUUGAGUGACAGGAAGCAAAAGCACCACCACCAAUCAGCCUGCACCACUGCACAC
rnacentral:lncRNA from 1 species